UCCUCCCCAGUCCCCCAUGGCUGAAGCUCAACAAAAAAAAUUCCCAUCGCUGCUGCCCUCCUCACCCUUCAUUCCUGCCAUUCGCGCAGUAACACAUUGGUACUCCCCUGAGCCGAUCUCCUCUAUGGCUUCGCCAGGACUGCCGUUGCCGCCACUGCCAUGGGCCGAUGCGCCGCGAGCGGCAGCGUCCGGGAGGUCGCUUCGCGUCGUCGGAGGGAGCCAAUCAGCCAAACAGAGGGCGUCGACGGGAGGGGCCGUGAAGCGCCAGGUGUAGCAAGGGCCAUCGUGUGCCUCGCGUGCAGAUGUGUGCAAUGGAUGUUCGGCGGCCUCGGCAGACAAAAAAUCUUUCAGGUUUUCUCUUCAUUUGCGUCCCAUCUGUGCGCUUCUGGUCUUCCUAUCCAUCUCUCUAUAACUCACUCACUUGAGUUUGCUGCCGUACGGUAUGGAGGAUGUGGAGAUCGGCCCUUCUGAUGGUGGUCAUUCACCCCUCUGAUGCCCGUGCCGCGCCCAGGUGGUACCGAUAUGUCCGUUCUCCAGAUCUUCUUUGGCUUCUACAUCAAGAACAUGGCCGCUCAGCUGCUCGAGAUCAUCGAUUCGUCCGCAACUCUGCAUUUAGGUACGAAUUUUUUUCUCAUCUUCUUCAACCUGGCCUGGGGCGACAUCUUCUUAGAUUGCUGGGUGACCGGCGGCGUGGUGCUGGACAAGGUCAUGGCCGCACAGUUCUGUACUGUGGCCGUGUUUUCUCAAGCACCAGGCUAGAUAACUGGAUAUGUCGGUAUAUGACACAGGUGCAAGACCAGCCUUACUACCUUGAACAUGUGUGAUGGAGUGUACCACAGGUGCUAAGGUUCAGAUUUUGUUGGUUGCUCUUUUCCUCUAUUUUUGUUGGAACUACUCAUCUCUAGGUUGGAUUUGUCACAUACGAGUGUACCCUGCAGCUGUUGAGAUGGAUGAGACAGAUGAGACAGACAUUCUCUGAAUUGUUCUUGGGGUCUAUUUUUAUAUAGGGAUCCUGCGUACUUUAUCCAUGUACAAAUGGUGUGUUAUCAGAAUCAAUGGACAUUAUAAAUAUAGCCUUUUAGUUACAUAUGCGGUUCAUUUUUUGGGCUAUUAGGGACUAGGUGUCAUAAGGUGGUUGUUUAUUGUAGCAUCGAUUCAAAUAUGUCUAUUACUAUGGUGUCUCGCCGGGUAUGAGCUCCAUGUCGGCGGCAUUCAGUUACAUGGGUCAUCUUGCUCGCUCUUCUCGGUUCCUAGCUUUUUCUUUAGGCGGUUCGGUACUCAUCUACAUUACUUUGAAAGCCUGAUAUUCUGAUCAUUUUGUUUUUUCACCAAACAAAUCAUGACAAAUAUUUAUAAGUUGUUUUUCCUAAAAUUUGUUAACCACUACUUAAUUAUCUUUCUCAAAAUUUCUUUGCAAUUGUUAUAAUCUAAUUUGUCCUAAGAAAAAAAGCAAACAUGGAUGAAUUUUGCUUUCAUGCUGCCGGUACUUUUAAAGUAGUGAUUCGUCUGCAAAAGAUCACAUGAAUUAUAUGAAGGCUUAGUGCAUUCAGACCCUAUUUUUGGCUGUGACAUGUAAUACAGAUUCUAUGUAGCAGCAGAUAGACUUAGCCUUUGUGUACAUGAAAGGAAGCAUCUCAAUCCCCUGUUGCCUGUGCUCUGCGCUAACGGGAGGUACUUUGCUCUACCAUUUUUUAGGAAUACAUUCUGAUGGUGAUGGAUUUGAAUAGCUCAUUGAGACCCUUAAGGUUUGGCUGGAUAUAAUAUGCAUAAUUAUUGUUAGUACCCUGUUAGAUGUACUUUUUCUUCAUGCAUGUAGUGUGCGGACAUAUGAAUAUCUUUUAACAUUUCUUCCCAUUAAACCAGGUUAUUUGAUUACCUUUAUUUUUGGUGAGAAAUUGCAGGUUACUGUCUUCCUACUUCUAUUGCUGCCAGGAAUUCAGCGUGUAUGGCUCAUGCCCUUCUGUGCAGAGCAAAAGAAUUUGACCUUAGCUCCAUGUCGGCGGCAUUCAGUUACAUGGGCCAUCUUGCUCGCUCUUCUCGGUUCCUAACUUUUUCUUUACGCGGUUCGGUACUCAUCUAGAUUACUUUGAAAGCCUGAUAUUCUGAUCAUUUUGUUUUUCACCAAAGAAAUCAUGACAAAUAUUUAUAAGUUGUUUUUCCUAUAAUUUGUUAACGACUACUUAAUUAUCUUUCUCAAAAUUUCUUUGCAACUGUUAUAAUCUAAUUUGUCUUAAGAAAAAAGCAAACAUGGAUGAAUUUUGCUUUGAUGCAGCCGGUACUUUUAAAGUAGUGAUUCGUCUGCAAAAGACCACAUGAAUUAUAUGAAGGCUUAGUGCAUUCAGACCCUAUUUUUGGCUGUGACAUGUAAUACAGAUUCUAUGUAGCAGCACAUAGACUUAGCCUUUGUGUACAUGAAAGGAAGCGUCUCAAUCCCCUGUUGCCUGUGCUCUGCGCUAACGGGAGGUACUUUGCUCUACCAUUUUUUAGGAAUACAUUCUGAUGGUGAUGGAUUUGAAUAGCUCAUUGAGACCCUUAAGGUUUGGCUGGAUAUAAUAUGCAGAAUUAUUGUUAGUACCCUGUUAGAUGUACUUUUUCUUCAUGCAUGUAGUGUGCGGACAUAUGAAUAUCUCCUUUCUUCCCAUUAAACCAGGUUAUUUGAUUACCUUUAUUUUUGGUGAGAAAUUGCAGGUUACUGUCUUCCUACUUCAGCGUAUAUGGCUCAUGCCCUUCUGUGCAGAGCAAAAGAAUUGGACCUUUUGGCUUUCUCGCCGCAUGCCUUGGUGAACUCAAGCCUGGAGGAUUAUUGUUCUACUUCUGGGCCUGACUGUAGUUUUCCUAACGCCGAUGUGAGUGGUCUAUUUCUUUUCUUAUAAUGCCAUACUUAAUAUCUUACAUGUGAAUCUACAAACUUGGUAUAUGCAUACUAUUUUAAUUUGGAUGGUUCUAUUGUUUAAUUGGGUUUAAAUCACCACAUAAUGGUUAAAAACAUUUUCUUCUCCCACCACUGUCAGAAUUCUAAAAGCUCUACAAUGAAGCCUUUUAAUCUUUCGCAGCUGCUUAAAUUUCCAAAGAUCCCACAUUAAAAUUGGGGUUAAAAAAUUCAUUUAUGGAUGUGGAGAAUAAUUUUUUGUGUCAUUAAAACAGUCAGGCAUUCUGCCACUGAAUUACCAUCACUAGAUUACUUGACAAGUAAAAGUUAUGAGUGCACCAAAGUAUGUGGAAGACUCUUCCUAUUUAUCUGGAAUGACCUUCCCCUUUGGCUGAUCUACUUAGCUUUGAUAGUGGUGCUGAAUCAAUUCUUGAGUAUAAUUCUAAAUUUGCUUCUAUCUCUCGGUGUUCAUUUUCACAAAAGCGUUAAUGUUUGAAAUGGCAUGUAUGUUUUCAAGAUAUAUGGGGUAGUUUAUCAUGGGUGACCUCUUAGAAUCUACUUGCCUUUGUUGUUUCUGUUAAAAUGCACAGGUUUAAAACUUACCAUAUAAGUUAAAAUUCAUGUUGACGGUUACUUGGUUCAAAGGCAGGUUCAGGGUCAUAUUCAGUAAUCCGUCUUAAAGAAAAGGAAGCUCAUGUUGACGGUUACUUGGUUUGAAAUGUACAGGAGUGCAAGACUUAAAAUGUGGUUAAUGCAGUGGAACAAGUAUGCAGCCACUCUUUUGUUUCAUGUACAUUUCCAUGCAACGACCUGUCAACUACUUCCUAUUGUGUAGUAUCAUGCGUAUCCGUGAUACACAGAUAUAUAAAAGGUUUGCUUUUGUGCU